GGUACUUGAUUGAUGGAGCCAGAUUUAACUUUGGAUGAAGUAGCAGAACAGAACAGAUCAGCACCUGACGCAGAGGAUGAAGAUGCUUUCGUCGUCGAGGAGAUUGGGGAUUCUUCAGAUGACCGACAGGCAGAGCCGACUGUGAUGUUGGAACCCAAGAAGGGGAUGAUGUUCAGUAGCGAGGAUGAUGCUGUCAGGUUCUACAAAGCUUAUGCCAGAAAAAAGGGCUUUGGUGUGAUAAGAAGGACGACCAGACACGGUGAAGACAAAAUGCUUACUUAUUUCACGCUUGCUUGUAACAGACAAGGGAAGGCUCAGUACUCAGCAAAGAACUCAUUUAAGCCUAAUCCGUCAACAAGGAUGCAAUGCCCAGCCAAGAGUAAUUUCUCUCGUCGUGGGGAAAAUUUCUGUAUCACGACUGUUACGCUUGAACACAAUCAUCCUAUAAGUCCAAGCAAAGCCAGAUUUCUGAGAUGCCAUAAGAAAGUGGACUUGCAUUCCAAGAGAAGGCUAGAAUUGAAUGAUCAAGCAGGAGCAUGUAUGAACAAGAAUUUUGGUUCUCCUGUUAUGGAAGCUGGAAAUCUUGAGUUUGGUGAAAAGGAAUACACUAACUAUUUGCAAGAGAAAAGAAGCCUGAAACUUGGUGCUGGAGAUGCACAUGCUCUUUAUCAAUAUUUUCUCCAUAUGCAGUCAAAAGAUCCAGCUUUUUUCCAUGUUAUGGAUGUGGCCGAGGAUGGACGACUGAGAAAUGUCUUUUGGGCAGAUGCAAGAAGUAGGGCUGCAUACGAGUCUUAUUGGGAUGUCAUCACAUUUGAUACUACAUACCUUACAAACAAGUAUACAAUACCGCUCGCUACUUUUGUUGGCGUAAAUCAUCAUGGAGAAUCUGUUCUAUUAGGUUGUGGUCUUCUGUCCAAUGAAGACACCGAGACUUUUGUUUGGCUGUUUAAAUCUUGGCUAUGUUGUAUGUCAUGCAAACCACCAAAUGCUAUAAUCACCGACCAAUGCAAACCAAUGCAGAAUGCUAUUGAAGAAGUUUUCCCUCAAGCUCGUCAUAGAUGGUGUACAUGUCAUAUCAUGAAGAAGAUUCCUGAAAAGCUUAAUGGGUAUGAAAAAAUUAAAUCUACAUUGUCAAAUGUGGUGUAUGAUUCCUUGACCAAACAUGGUUUUGACAAAACUUGGGUGGAGAUGAUCAAUAAAUAUGAUCUUCAGGACAAUGAAUGGCUUGCUGAAUUAUAUGAUAAUAAAAAUCGAUGGGUACCAGCAUAUGUAAAAGAUACUUUCUGGGCAGGAAUGUCUUCAACAAAAAGGAGUGAGAGUGUAAAUGCUUUCUUUGAUGGCUAUGUCAAUGCUAGAACAACUCUGAAGCAAUUUGUGGAGCAGUAUGAAAAUGCACUAAGAGACAAGGUAGAGAAAGAAAACAAGGCUGAUUCUAAGUCAUUCCAACAGCAAAUUCCAUGCAUUACUCACUAUGACUUUGAGAGACAAUUUCAAGCAGCAUAUACUACUGCAAAGUUUAAAGAGUUUCAAGAUCAAUUAAGAGGUAAAAUCUAUUGCUAUCCAACUCAUCUGAACAGAGAAGGAUCAAUUUUUACAUUUGGAGUCAGAGAGGACAGCAAGAUUUUUUGUGAAGGAGAGGAUGGCAAAGGAAAAGAGAAAAGGGUUAUUUUAGAGUUCAUUGUCCUGUUCAACCAAGGGGAAUGUGAUGUGCAGUGUAUGUGUAGGCUCUUUGAAUUUCGAGGCAUCUUGUGUAGCCACAUCAUUUCCGUGCUUGCUCUCAUGGAGAUCACAGAUGUACCUUCUAGGUAUAUAUUGCAGCGAUGGAGAAAGGAUAUUAAGCGCAAACACACAUUUAUUAGAUGCUCCUAUGAUGAUAUGAUUGAUACACAAGUUGUGCAGCGUUAUGAUAAUUUGUGCAAGCGUUCCCGCGAACUGGCAGAGAAUGGUGCAGAGUCUGAUGCAUUGCAUGACUUGGUGAUGGAUGGCCUUAAUGAAUUACAAAGUAAGAUUGACGCGUACCGUGCUAGGUAGGAAGUUUAGGAGAAGGAUCCAACUUCAAAGCAUGAAGAUACGAUGAAAAAGAAAAAAAAGGAAAAAUUGUACUCAGUCCAAUCCCUUUUCACAGUGUAGGUCGUCCUCCUUCAAAGAGAAAGGAAUCGAAAGUGGAUCAAGUGGUCAAAAAAUUGAGAGCAAAGAAGCAGCAGGUACCAACAAAUACAAAUGAAAUGCCAAGUCAAUAGAGGAGAAAGGUAUCUAAAUUUUAGUUAUCCAAAAAGAUCUUCCUGUUGUAACUUACUAAAGUGUAAGAACCAUCUCUUGGCAGAAACAGAACAGCAAAUCAAAAAAUGGGCAAGACGCCAAUCUAGAGAGUUCACAACAAAUGGAUGUAAUAUUUCAUUCAGAUACUCUAUGAGAAACACCAAUCAGUACCGCCAAAAUUCUGCAUGCAAAGGCCAGGCUAGCAUACCACACGGUUAAUGGUUAAUUAACUCAUGAAACAAAACAAAAUAAAAUAAAACCUUGACCUUAUAGUGCUAGUCUGAGUUGAGUAUCAACCUUCUAAAUCCCUGAAAUAGGGACCCUUGCUUACCCUGAUCAAUCCUGACUUGUACCUCUUCAGCGCAGGCACAUCAGGAAAAGGGCCAUCCUCGCUAACAUACAUGUGAGAUCUUGAGUUCUACUAAUUUUCAGUCGACUGAUUUCUAAUUGGCACUAGGUCAAAUUUUCAUUCGUUUGAUCGGCGGUCGUGAAUCUCAGCGAGCGAUUAUCCUGUUGUACUGGUUGUGUGCGCGAUCGAAUUGGCAUUGGAUGUUUGUUUUAACGGGUUUUGUUUCCACAAAAAUAGACCCGGUUUGAGAGGGCAUGAGAGGAUGCCCUCACUACACUGCCUCCCCCCUCCUCUCCCUUCCCCAGCAGUCCUCCGUUGACCUGCAAGGGAGGGUCUGCCUCUAUUCCACUAGUUUUGAAUUUUAGCUCUGCUCCUUGAUUCAUCCCCUCCCCCCGGGUAGGUUCUGUCCUCCUUUUGUUGUGAUUCGAUUUUUAGCUUUUUUCUGUCUCCCACAGUUUCGAUUUGUCAUGGAAUUAAUGAGCUAUAGUUCAAUGAUUUUUUCAGAUCAAGGGUUUGUGUCAACAUUUGUGUUGUUUGGGGGUUGGAAGUGAUGGCGCUUUUUUUUUUGCUCAUUUCUUUGGGUUUCAGUAUCCAGUGCAAACUGGGAGCAAACUGCAAGUUAUCAGCUUCAUCCAGAGUAAAUGAAAAAACAAACUAGCUAGCUAUCUGCAUUCAUAUUAAAAAAAACUGUCUGCAUUCAAAUGCCAAGAGCCAUUAGCAGCAGCAGCCAACCCAACCAAUCCCAAUCAAAUCACACUAAAAAAUCGGAGUGCAAGCAAGCCCUAAAACAGUCAAGAAGUUUUUGCUUAGCCUUUUGAUUCAGUUUGGGUUGGUACCCUUCCUCCACCAGGUAGCGUCUGUUGUAGUCCAAUUUCUGUACCACAAGCACAUAGCUCUAGUCUAUCUUGAUCUGAUCAUUGAGAUGAUUUGUUUUUUACUGCUGAUGGAAUCAUUAUCAUUAAAUAAUUCUGAUUGAAGUAAAGUGCUCAUACCUUUCUAAAUAUACCAUCUGCUAAUGUGGUUGUUGUGAGCAGGACAAGGCUGGGAUGUACGGGGUGGUUUCUAUGUCAGUCCUGAUGCAAAGCUGCUAUUUGUGGUUCCGAUCCGUGGGUAAGGCACCACCUUAACAAUAUAUUAUUCUAUCUUCAUUGAUUUUUUUUCAAUUAAUGUCUUUUUUAUGUCCAUUUUUGAUACAUAAACAUCUGCAGGAACAGUCCAGCCAUGUUGGUGAUGAGUGGAGAUCACUACAUCAGCACAAAGUACUCCACUGCAAAGCAUGGCCGAAUGUACUUCCAAGUCUGGAUGGUUGAAAUUCACGAUGUAGACUAAUCUGGAGAUAGGGUUGCUCAUGCUCAUCUGAUUUUCAUGAUGAUGAAACUCUUGGCAUCGGUUUUGAACUUUUGAUGCCCUGUAGAUAGUCAGCACUAGUUGCCCAAGGCUUCAGACACGAUGUUUUGCCAUCAGUAGUAAGUUUCAGUCUAGGCAUCAUUAUAUGACCAGA
rnacentral:lncRNA from 1 species